UGAGGAAUCUUGCGCAAUGGAGGAAACUCUGACGCAGCCACGCCGCGUGCAGGAAGACACCCCUCAGGGGCGUAAACUGCUUUUGUACGGGAAGAACACCCUACUCGGUAGGGUCUGACGGUACCGUACGAAUAAGGACCGGCUAACUCCGUGCCAGCAGCCGCGGUAAUACGGAGGGUCCAAGCGUUGUCCGGAAUCACUGGGUGUAAAGGGUGUGUAGGCGGGCCUGUAAGUCAGAGGUGAAAGCCCCCGGCCUAACCGGGGAAUUGCCUUUGAUACUGCAGGUCUUGAGUCCUGGAGGGGUCACUAGAAUUCGUGGUGUAGCGGUGAAAUGCGUAGAUAUCACGAGGAAUACCAGAGGCGAAGGCGGGUGACUGGACAGGUACUGACGCUGAGGCACGAAAGCGUGGGGAGCAAACAGGAUUAGAUACCCCCGUAGUCC
rnacentral:rRNA from 1 species